AUUGGAAUUCUAGUUAUCUAAAUAAUGUAUCUAAGAGUAAUCGUCCCCACUAUGAUCGUUACAUGUAUGAUACUAAAUAUAGUUGGAAUAAACACAUUAAUAGUUGCAUUAAUAAUUACUCUUUUCUAAAAAUCAUAUUUUUUACCAAAUAAAAAGUAAGUCUCGUGGUCGAGUGAGAAUGCACGGGAAAACAAAAAUAAGUGGCAACUCCAAAUCUUUCAUCAAAUAAAAAGUGAGUACGGCGAUAGAGUGAAAAUAUGCACAUGAAAAAUGCAGAUUAAUACUUAUCAUAUCCAAAUCUUUUAUCUUAUCCUACCGAAACCUUUUAUACAAUGUGCCUAAUCCCCACCGGAAAAGAGAAAAAAAAAACCAUGAGUUGUAAAUAUUUAAUUUUAGUCUAUUUAAUAAAAUUUGGUAUGAUCCAUGAAUAGGUCUGAAAUUCAACAUAUUUUUCGUAAAUUCAAUCUGGGAGUCGUACAAAUUUGAUCGGAAUUAAAUUAACUUAAACUAUGUCGUUCAUUAUAUAAACUCAUGUAAAACUUCACUUGAGUAUUAAAGAAAAUUUGAUCGCCAAUCACAGAAACGGUUCAAUGUACCACACCAGGCAGAUAAGCAGAAGGCACCGUGGAAACUGACACUAGUAACUGCUGAUGACGUCUUCUUCCUACUCUGAGAUCAACAUUCAUGGAGACCAUACCCAAGAGCAAAGUCAAAAUCAAAUGGUGGGUCCCCAGCAGAGCAGCUGUGUACUGAGUUUCCCAAAGUAGAAAGAGAAGCCCCUUAUGCAUAGAAAUCUUAACUGCUGCAUCAUCAAAUAAAUGGAUUCUCAUUUGCCAAGUCUAUCCGUAGAUGCAUACCCCCUUAUUUAUUUCUCCUGAUCCACAUCCACAUACACGUUCCUCUCUCUGUAGAUUUCUUCCAUGGCUCCUCAUGAUUCAAUCAAACCUCGAGAUGUUUGCAUCGUGGGCGUUGCGCGGACCCCUAUGGGCGGCUUUCUUGGUUCCCUUUCGUCUUUAUCAGCCACCAAGCUUGGCUCCAUAGCUAUUCGGGGUGCUCUUAGAAGGGCAAAUAUUGAUCCAUCGCUGGUCCAAGAGGUGUUCUUUGGGAACGUUCUGAGUGCAAAUUUGGGGCAAGCUCCGGCAAGACAGGCGGCGUUGGGUGCGGGCAUACCGCAUUCAGUGGUGUGCACCACUAUUAACAAAGUCUGUGCUUCAGGGAUGAAAGCUAUAAUGUUUGCUGCACAGUCUAUCCAAUUGGGUGUCAAUGAUGUAGUUGUGGCUGGUGGCAUGGAAAGUAUGUCUAAUGCGCCUAAAUACCUAGUAUAUGCAAGGAAUGGAUCUCGAUUAGGGCAUGAUACUAUUGUUGAUGGUAUGAUCAAAGAUGGGCUCUGGGAUGUUUACAAUGAUUUUGGAAUGGGAAUUUGUGCAGAAAUAUGUGCUGAUCAGCAUACGAUAACGAGAGAAGAACAGGAUUCUUACUCUAUCCAGAGUUUUGAGCGUGGUAUUUCUGCACAAAAUAAUGGUGCCUUUGCAUGGGAAAUAAUUCCGGUUGAAGUAUCUGGAGGGAGAGGAAAGCCAUCUACACUUGUUGAUAAGGAUGAAGGUCUAGGAAAGUUUGAUGCUGCAAAACUAAGGAAACUUCGACCAAGUUUCAAGGAUGGGGGUUCAGUUACUGCAGGGAAUGCUUCUAGCAUAAGUGAUGGUGCGGCUGCAUUAGUGCUAGUGAGUGGUAAGAAGGCAGUUGAGCUUAGACUCCAAGUGAUUGCUAAGAUUGCAGGAUAUGGUGAUGCUGCUCAGGCACCUGAGUUGUUUACAACUACCCCAGCCCUUGCAAUACCAAAAGCUAUUUCUAAUGCUGGCCUGAAGGCUUCUCAAAUUGAUUACUAUGAAAUAAACGAGGCUUUCGCCGUUGUAGCUCUUGCCAAUCAAAAGUUGCUUGGUCUUGAUCCUGAAAAGGUCAAUGUUCAUGGUGGAGCUGUAUCUUUGGGACAUCCAAUAGGUUGCAGUGGUGCUCGUAUCUUGGUCACAUUGUUAGGGAUACUAAGACAGAAGAAUGGGAAGUAUGGAGUUGGUGGUAUCUGCAAUGGUGGAGGAGGAGCAUCUGCCCUUGUUCUAGAGCUCAUGAAGAACAACUGACAGACGUGAAGGAAGACAUGGGUGGUAGGCUCUCAAGGCGCCACAUGUUUACUCAUGGCUGGCUGUUAGGGAAUCAGGGAGUGGUUUGAAGGAGUCAAUAGAGUAAUGACACAUGUCACCAUCAUCUUCAUCUCCAAUACAUCGAUCAGAUACAACUCCAUCUCCAGACGCCUCUCGUUUGCAUUGUCUUCAUCUUUAGGCGCACCUAAAAACAUAUCUGCAUGAAUCUUUCUCACUAUUGCACAAGCAAAAGAUCUUCUGAUCAUGAGGGCACCAGAAUGACAUCGACUUCCCCAUCUCUUUUUCUUCGUAGCAUUACCAUUUUCUGCAUCUUCAAGAGAGACGCAUCACCAGGGAUGAAUCUGCAUGUCGUGCCCAAAUUUAUCUAGGAUUUGAGAUCAUAUCGACAUCACCUUCAGAGGAGGAUCACUUGCUCAACAGAAGACUUGGAUCAACGCACCAUUUAACCAUUUUUUGGAACUUUUUUGCAACUGCAGUGCCAAAUUAGUUUCCCGACAUCCUGUUGUCAGUUCAAUCUGCGCAUCACCAUUGGAACAAAACACAAAGGACAAAGAACAGAAAGAUGUGAAAGAAGACAUGAAUAUAAAAUAAGCAAACUUUACCUUGAUGGAUGACCAUUCCUCAGCCUUUUGUGGAUCAUCAUCAUUUGGUUCAGGAGUAGAGCUUAAAUAAGCUUCUGGGCAUCUGGGUUUAACUUUGAAUUUCUUGCAAAGUGGAAGCCAUAGCUUUGAGAACUGAGAGGCCUCUAGGAGAGCAUAAAAUGUUAGACAUGACCCACAAUCAUCAGAAAGAUAGACGCUCAGCUUCUCAGGCAGGUAGUCGUAAGCCAUGACUGAUAGGACUGUGUUGAUGACCAUAGUUGGUGGCUCUAUUAUGGGGUUGGCAGUGCACACAAAUAUGUCUAUCCCAGGUAAAACCUUCUCAUACCUGUUUCAAGGUCAGGAUUAGCAGGAGAAAGAGAUGGGAGAAGAAGAAAAGUGACAGAAAGAACGAGAGACCUUUGAGAGAGUCUGUCUUUGAAGGUGUAGCGGUAGAUGGGGUUCCAUCUAACAGACAGAAUGACAAACCAGUAGAGUAUUUACCAGAGCUCUGAUAAGAACAAUCCUAUCCAAGGCCAUCUUCCAACUUCUCCUUCCUCUGGUAGAUGAGUUAGUCUGUAAACACAAAUCAAACAUAUGCCCACAAAGGUUGAAACAGCAUACAAUCCAAAGAGGAUUCUGCCCUUUGAAGUCUUUGUUUCAAACAGAGGAAGAUGGCCAUCUCUUCCCAUCUUCCACAGAGGCACUACCUCUGUUGUAUAAGCUAUGACCUGGAUGUUGUUCUAACUUCUAACAAGCAACUUCCAACCCUUUGGUCUCAAUAUAUGAACAUCUGAUUCAAACUUUUAAGUGUCCCAAUCAGGAGCCAACUGUGCUCAGGUUCUCAUUUUUUUUUUCCUUUUCAAUUUAUGAAUCUUUUCCAUUUGUAAUAAUAUCCCAUUAGAAAUGGAAACUUAAUACCAGUUUUGAAGAUUGCAAUUCUGUUGUUUA